rnacentral:rRNA from 1 species
GACGAACGCUGGCGGCGUGCUUAACACGUGCAAGUCGAACGGAAAGGCCCUGCUUUUGUGGGGUGCUCGAGUGGCGAACGGGUGAGUAACACGUGAGUAACCUGCCCUUGACUUUGGGAUAACUUCAGGAAACUGGGGCUAAUACCGGAUAGGAGCUCCUGCUGCAUGGUGGGGGUUGGAAAGUUUCGGCGGUUGGGGAUGGACUCGCGGCUUAUCAGCUUGUUGGUGGGGUAGUGGCUUACCAAGGCUUUGACGGGUAGCCGGCCUGAGAGGGUGACCGGCCACAUUGGGACUGAGAUACGGCCCAGACUCCUACGGGAGGCAGCAGUGGGGAAUAUUGCACAAUGGGCGGAAGCCUGAUGCAGCAACGCCGCGUGGGGGAUGACGGCCUUCGGGUUGUAAACCGCUUUCGCCUGUGACGAAGCGUGAGUGACGGUAAUGGGUAAAGAAGCACCGGCUAACUACGUGCCAGCAGCCGCGGUGAUACGUAGGGUGCGAGCGUUGUCCGGAUUUAUUGGGCGUAAAGGGCUCGUAGGUGGUUGAUCGCGUCGGAAGUGUAAUCUUGGGGCUUAACCCUGAGCGUGCUUUCGAUACGGGUUGACUUGAGGAAGGUAGGGGAGAAUGGAAUUCCUGGUGGAGCGGUGGAAUGCGCAGAUAUCAGGAGGAACACCAGUGGCGAAGGCGGUUCUCUGGGCCUUUCCUGACGCUGAGGAGCGAAAGCGUGGGGAGCGAACAGGCUUAGAUACCCUGGUAGUCCACGCUGUAAACGGUGGGUACUAGGUGUGGGGUCCAUUCCACGGGUUCCGUGCCGUAGCUAACGCUUUAAGUACCCCGCCUGGGGAGUACGGCCGCAAGGCUAAAACUCAAAGGAAUUGACGGGGCCCCGCACAAGCGGCGGAGCAUGCGGAUUAAUUCGAUGCAACGCGUAGAACCUUACCUGGGUUUGACAUGGAUCGGGAGCGCUCAGAGAUGGGUGUGCCUCUUUUGGGGUCGGUUCACAGGUGGUGCAUGGCUGUCGUCAGCUCGUGUCGUGAGAUGUUGGGUUAAGUCCCGCAACGAGCGCAACCCUUGUUCACUGUUGCCAGCACGUUAUGGUGGGGACUCAGUGGAGACCGCCGGGGUCAACUCGGAGGAAGGUGGGGAUGACGUCAAGUCAUCAUGCCCCUUAUGUCCAGGGCUUCACGCAUGCUACAAUGGCUGGUACAGAGAGUGGCGAGCCUGUGAGGGUGAGCGAAUCUCGGAAAGCCGGUCUCAGUUCGGAUUGGGGUCUGCAACUCGACCUCAUGAAGUCGGAGUCGCUAGUAAUCGCAGAUCAGCAACGCUGCGGUGAAUACGUUCCCGGG